GACCCCCCAGUAUAGAUUUACCAAUAUACCACUGUAACUAGACUCUCUUCUGAGGUUGUCAAAGACCCAACAGAGCAUUAACUUUAAGUCCCAGAUUGAGGGCUGAGGACAACAGGGUCUGCCCUCGGUGGUCACAAAUUCCAGCUGUAGACUGAGGAAGAUUGACAAUGGAUUGGAAAAUGAGGGACUGCGGGCACAUGGGAGAGACUUGUGAGGCUGUAGAAUGUUGGUUAUUCACACUUGGGGAAAGUACCACUUUUUUUUUUAACUGAAACUGAAAUUUUAAUUAACUUAUUUUUUAUUCACUACUUAAAAAAAAAAGAUAAUUGACCUACAACCUGAAGUCAGGGGACUUCCUUAACUGGCUCAGAUGCUGCAAAGAAAUAGACAUCUCCCGUAAUAAGAAGAGAUACAUCCUCUGAGGGGAGGCAGUGGGAGGGAGCAUCUCCAUGGGGAGAGGAAGGGACUUCCCAGGCCUGCCACGGCCCCAGAAGUCUCCCUGUCCUUGUCCCUUUGUGCUUCUGAGCAACCACAGCUGAAGUCAUCAGCACCACAGAGACUUUAAACAAUUAAGCAGAACUUCUGUAAAGGCAUAGAGUUAAGAGAGGGGAAAGCAAAGAACUGAGCAGCAGGUAACCCGAUAAUCUAAUUCACCAGACAGACUCAGCUGAUUCAUCUUGUGCCCACAACCCAUGGCAGGGAUCUCUGCUCCCUGGCUCCUGACCUGCUGCCUCCGUCCCAAAGAAAUGUCCAAGUCUUGAGGGAAACAUGGAAGUUCCCACCCCUGCCUGCACAAGCUCUCUGUUAUGAGUUAAGGAGCCUGUCUCACAAGUUCCUCCAAUCAUGUCCUGGCCGCUUUCUCCAGUCUGGAUGAGGUAGGAAGCUUUACAGCAGUAAUCUGACAUGAGAGAGGAGGAAAUGGUGCUGUCCCCCCACCCAAUGUGAGGACGCAUCAGUGGAGCCCUGGGGUUGCUCUUCUGAAACAGCAGGAAGGUUUCUCCUUGGAAGUUCAAUGCCAACAUGUCACCAGGGGUCUCCAGCCAGGCUAGAUCCAGCACCAGGGAGUAUAGCAGAGUGAACAUUGGUGGCUUGACAUGGUUCCUAGAUGGACAACCGGAAGUUUAGAAUCUGAGGGAUUCCUGCAGAAAAUAAUGGUGUAUACAGCAGCCAGGAUGUACCUGAGGCACUGUGCACCAUGUCCUUAGGACCCCUCAAGUAAAUUGUCCAACAUUCCACACUGGAGGCAGGGCACAUCCAUGGCCCGGAUCCGUCCCCCUCUCCUACUGUGCCAGAAUAUUUCUCGUGCCAUAGGCAAGGUGAUUGAAACACAGAGCUGCAUACAAAGUG
rnacentral:lncRNA from 1 species